UUGCCUUAACCUUAGCGGCAGCCAAAGCAGCCUCAUCUUGCUCCUCUUCCUUCGUAGUAGUCCAACCAAGUUGAAGUCUUAACUGAACAUUUUCGCCAACACUAGUGGUUCUAGCAUCAACACCACUGUUCUUGCCUGCUUCCUUUCCGAAUUUUUUCCAUUUCUUACGCUCCGCCACAGCGUGUUGCACCCGCUCCGUAAUAACGGUUUUCCGUAUAACUCUGGUAACCUUCACCUUUUUGCCAUUAUCAUCAAUGCGAAAUUCAAUCAUGGUUUUUGUGCCAUCGGGAUUAUCAAACGUCUGAAUCGAAGGCAAUCCAGUACCAUAGUCCUCAUCGUCAGCCCAAUCCAGUGAUUUCCUACUUUGUUAGUUUCUUUCACAAAAAAAUAUAUUACAUACGAUGAACUCAUUUUAUAGACAAAAGAUGUUUGAAGAGGGUGAGCCCUUCAUCACCAGAAAAUUUGUUGUAGUGUUGAAUUAACAUACAUUAGUAGAAGUUUGAUAUACCAACAUAGCAGUCUACGUUGCAGUACACUACUUGAACUUUUCUUAAAAAGGAGAUGAUACCUUGCGACUAAAUUAGUUUAAGCUUUCUGUUGCUACUAUUAGAAAAAGCGGAUGAAAUUGUGGAUUUCAAAUUGAAGGGAUCGUUAAUAACCAGGACAAACUUCGCACCGGUCAUCUCAAUUCAAUCGUCAGUUGAAGCCAUAAUCUGCAGAUCUCUAUUACCGAUCACUAUAAAUAGCCAGGUUUUGCAAUACCAUCAUCUUCUAUUAUUCUGUACAAAGCUCUUUAAAAAAUUUCUCAAUUCCCGUUAAUAUAGAUAUUAUCAAAAUACAAAAUAAAAAAAUAAAAACCCAGCAUCAUUGAACUGGGUAUAAGAACAUCUAGCUAAAACACUAUAAUCAUACCCGGAUGGGAAUUUGGUGCAUUCAUAAAUCUAGCAUUCAUGAUUAAAUAAGGACAAAUGUUUUGUUGUAAUAAGAGAAAAUGCUCUGAAAAAAAGAAAAGGAAUUCCCAAAGGACUUAACAAAUCUAAGUUAAAGUCCUUAGCACCAACCAAGGCGGCUGAUUACUUAUAGCGUUGCAAAUUUGAGGUGUCAUACCAACUAAAGGAGAAUGUCGAGGUAAAUAUAUAAAAGACUAAAGGCAAAUAUCCUGCAAACAUUUUAUCUAAAUGACUUUACUCGGCGUAAGCGGCGUCAAUUUCCUUCUUGAAACGAUCCAAAAUUUUGCGACGCUGUAAUUUCUGAGCUGCAGUCACCAAUCCAUUUUCGGGUGUAAACUCAAUGGGAACAAGGACGACGUUUUGAAUAAGUUCGAUAUUAGCGAAAUGAUGACUACGACCAAUACGAAUAAGGUCGUCAUAAACAAGUUGACGAACUUUCUUGUUAUGACAAACUUCCUCCCAAGAGGCAUCAGGACUAAGACCGGCUUGUUCAGUGGCAAGUUUACGAACGACGGGCUCGUUGGGAACGAUGAUUGCCAAAGGCUUCACCUUGGUCUGAUCUGCAUAUACACAGAUAUUCGAAACAAGACUGCUCGUACGAUAGCGAGAUUCAAGCUUCUCCAGUGCAAUAUACUCGCCAUUUUGAGUUUUGACGAGGUUUUUCUUACGAUCAAUAAUUCUAAGCAAUCCUUCUGGAGUCAAUUCGCCAACAUCACCAGUACGGAACCAACCAUCUGGAGUAAAGCUUUCUUUAUUUUCUUUAUCACGGUUAAGAUAUCCCCGAGUCAAAGAGGGACCACGAAGCCAGAUUUCACCACGAGGAGGGUGUCCGUG